CACACACGCACCUCUCCGUCCUUUACGAGCAGACCGGUAGCUAUGCGCUGUGGUGAAGUAACGUGCUUUGGAGAGCAGUUGCCAGCAGCUGUAGAAGCAAACGUACGGCCAAGGUCACAGCGUGGUUCGAAUGCUCUUUGCAGCUUGAGCUUGCUGAUUUGCUUAUUUACCUGAAGUACUUUUUGGUAUAGAACACACUUUGCCAAAGACACAGUGCUUUUUCUUCAUCUGAUGGACUCAGAAAAACAGGACAAGAUAAUCUCCAGGCAUGAGUUCUAAGAGGACUGGCACAUUUAACAGUAGUUACAAUAGCAAACACUUUUUCAAGUACAG
ensembl:lncRNA